rnacentral:rRNA from 1 species
CUACGGGUGGCUGCAGUGGGGAAUAUUGCACAAUGGGCGCAAGCCUGAUGCAGCAACGCCGCGUGAGGGACGACGGCCUUCGGGUUGUAAACCUCUUUUAGUAGGGAAGAAGCGAAAGUGACGGUACCUUCGGAAAAAGCACCGGCUAACUACGUGCCAGCAGCCGCGGUAAUACGUAGGGUGCAAGCGUUAUCCGGAAUUAUUGGGCGUAAAGAGCUCGUAGGCGGUUUGUCGCGUCUGCUGUGAAAACUGGGGGCUCAACCCCCAGCCUGCAGUGGGUACGGGCAGACUAGAGUGCGGUAGGGGAGAUUGGAACUCCUGGUGUAGCGGUGGAAUGCGCAGAUAUCAGGAAGAACACCGAUGGCGAAGGCAGAUCUCUGGGCCGUAACUGACGCUGAGGAGCGAAAGCAUGGGGAGCGAACAGGAUUAGAUACCCUUGUAGUC